rnacentral:lncRNA from 1 species
AAUGAAAGUCAACGCAACGGAAAGUGUUUUUGUUUUGAUUGGUGACUUGCCACUUGGAAAGCACAAAGAAAGGUAAAAAUAAAUUUAUCAUUCACAUUUUUUAAAAUGGAUUUUUAAAGCAGAAAGAUGUAAGCAUUAAAUUCUCUCUGUGUCGACCAUGUACCGCCACACCGUGCACAUCGUCCAUAGUCCAUACUCUGUAAAUAAUUUAAGACAUCUUCCAUACUUCAUGUACUUCAACUUUCAGUUCCAUUGAGCAUGAUGAGUUUAUAUCAUAAAACAUAAUAAUACAACACUAUCCGACAUAUGAAUGGUAUCUGGGAAAAAAGGGGGGGGGAUACUUCCUAUAUUACUUUUAUAUUACAAAUAUGCCAAAAAUUAGGGUUGCUGUUUCAUGCCCUGCUGGGAAUCUGGGUCCGUCCGCCCUGAUUCCGGUUCGCCCUAGUUUCUGUUCGCCCUAAUACCUGUUCGCCCAGAGUCCGUUCGCCCUGAUUUCAAUUUUUAGUAAAUAGUGUUGCGUUGUGUGUACAUGUAUAUAAUACACCUUAUCGCUAUUUGUCCGCCAUUACUGGAUAUCACACAGGUUCCCGUAAAAUUUUGACGUCACAAUACAAAAUAUCUGACGCCACAAUGGAAGUGAUUGUUGUAUGCGUCAAAAGUUCAAGCGGCAGGGUCAGCCGGGAUUAGCGAUAAGGUGUAUUGAAUGUGUUGAAGUCAGUCUACAAUUUGGCCGAAUAUUUGCGAUUUAUCAUGUUGUUUAUAGCUAGCUGCUACUAGGACUAGGUUAUAAGUUUCUGUACAUUCACUAUCAAAUUGAAUUACUCUUAGUAAAACAAAUACCAAAAACACAGUCACACAGUGACACUGCUGUACAUUGAUCACUUGUCAUCGGUGUUUUUAUCUAUCCAAGCUGACUUUUUUUUUUGAGAAAAAUGUUAUUUUCAUUAUAAUUAAUCCAUCAAAGAAAAUUCAUAUAACAAUCAGAGAUAUCAAAGAUUUCAAAUGAUACCUUAUCAGCAAUCAAAACUCAAUCAAUAGUAAUAAAAAGUAAUUAUAAAAUAAAGUGUAACAAUGCAGCCAAAAAUUUUAUUUAAUUAAUAUAAAUUUGCCAAAUAUUCUGUAUUUAACUUUUAAUAGAUAUACAUGAACAUAAAUUGAAAUAUAUAUUUAUAUAUUUCGUUUAUUAAUGUAACAUAUACAUAUCAUAAAUGAAUAUAGGGCGAACAAACCCAGGGCGAAUGGACGAAUCUAGGGCGAACAUGUAAUCAGGGCGAACGAUCCCGAUACCCCCUGCUGGUUAGAAUAGGGUACCGGUCCCUUAUUUAUGACCUUCUUGUGAGAACAGGGUAUUUUGUAAACAAAGUAUUUGUGUUUUAGGGGGGUUGGAGGGGUCCUGAUUGCAAAAUCUGGGGCAUAAAAACAUGAAAUCCAGAGGGGUGGGUCUUUUCGUUACCCAAAACACCACCAAACACCCUGAAAACCAUUGACCACCUUUUGUCAAUCAUACAUGCACAGAGUUUGGGAUACACAGUCACUGUUUGAUUUUAUAUGAUUUUAGUUUAUGUAAAAACUUGAUCAUUCCAAGUAAAUAAGUAAUAGGUCAUCUGUUUUGUGUGUAGUGAAUGCCAAGUUUCACAUAACCUUUAUCUCAUUUUCACAGCUGGUUAAAUUGGUCAACAGUGGCAGAUCCAGAAAUGUUAAUAAAAGUGGGGGGUUGCACUGACUGCCAAACUGGGGCCUCUCCAGUCAUGCGUGAUGAUGCUUCAAUAAUUCCUUUAAAGGUAAUUUAAAUAAAAAAAUAAGAUUACAUGUGUCUUACGCUGUUACGGACCACUCUAAAGUGGGUAUUCUUUUCUGAAAUGUUUUCUAAUUUUAAUACCCAUAUACAUGUACUAUCUGCUUGUUUGAAACAUGAAUUAAAACUCACUCAUAAUUUUAUAUAAGACAUACCAAUCAAUAUCCAGUACCAAAUUGAAAAGAAAUAUCACUAAAUGCAUGAAGCCAGACACAAAAGAUUGUUUAACAGUGUACAAAAUAAAUACAAGUCACUUUAUAAACAUGAUAAAAAAGGGGGAUGCUGUUAUUAUACUAUUUUUUUUCAUGUCAUUUUCAUUGUGAAAAGGCAGAUAAUUAAUCAUGUGGUUGUAAUUCUAUAGAAAUUAAAAAAAUUGGGCAUUAGAUGGUUUGAUAGACAUUUAAUGUAUAGAUAUUCCCCAUUUCCAUUCUCAAUUUUAUUAUCUACAUAGGUGUAUUAAAGUCAGAACUGACACGAAUACAGCACAAAAUUGUGAUACAUACAUGUAUAUACUUGCUGUUCGGUGUGAGCCAAGGCUCUAUGUUAAAGGCCGUACCUUGACCUAUAAUUUACAUUUAUAAAUUGUUAUUUUGAUGGAGAGUUGUCUCAUUGGCACUCAUACCACAUCUUCAUAUACACAUGUAACUUAAAAUUUCAAAUUCCUUAAUCAUGUUAAUACAUGUAAAUGUAUUAUGUUUAUUGCCCAAAGAUUGACAUUAAUUGACAAAAUCAGAGAUGCAAUAUAACCAGUUCAUUCAUUAAAAUGUUGUAUUGAUCAUAUUGAUUUGAAAUGAUGCAGAAGAACAUUAAAAUAAUUGAUGAAAUGCUUUUUAUAAAGUCAUAUUUUUUAGGGCAAAUCUGUUAGUCUUAUUUUGAAAUGUCAAAGUGAGGCAAUUUUGCCAGUUACAUGUAUCAUAACUUCCUUUUAUCAUGUUUAUGCAUUUAAACAUUUUUCUUUUAGCAUUUUUAAAGAAAGUACAAGCACUUAAAGAAGUAGGGGAAAAUAAUCAACAAAACAGAAGUCAUUAGAGGCGAUGAUUUCUAUAUUUAUACAUGUAUCUAGACUAGUAGUGGAUUUGAAAAGUGCUGUAUUGAUUCAUGUGCAAAUAAGGAGCAGCAGCCAACAUGGCCAAUGAAACAUUGCAAAUGUAUGAUUAAGGUAUGUCAUGAAAGUUAUGUUUAAGUU